CCUACGGGAGGCUGCAGUGGGGAAUAUUGCACAAUGGGCGCAAGCCUGAUGCAGCCAUGCCGCGUGUGUGAAGAAGGCCUUCGGGUUGUAAAGCACUUUCAGCGGGGAGGAAGGCGUUAAGGUUAAUAACCUCGGCGAUUGACGUUACCCGCAGAAGAAGCACCGGCUAACUCCGUGCCAGCAGCCGCGGUAAUACGGAGGGUGCAAGCGUUAAUCGGAAUUACUGGGCGUAAAGCGCACGCAGGCGGUCUGUCAAGUCGGAUGUGAAAUCCCCGGGCUCAACCUGGGAACUGCAUUCGAAACUGGCAGGCUAGAGUCUUGUAGAGGGGGGUAGAAUUCCAGGUGUAGCGGUGAAAUGCGUAGAGAUCUGGAGGAAUACCGGUGGCGAAGGCGGCCCCCUGGACAAAGACUGACGCUCAGGUGCGAAAGCGUGGGGAGCAAACAGGAUUAGAUACCCGAGUAGUC
rnacentral:rRNA from 1 species